GACCACCAGUUUCAGAUCUCGAAGAGACAUCCUAACGGCAUCUCACCCAAACUCUAGAGAGAUAAUGCCUGAAACCUCAAACAUGGUUUUCGCUUCAGUCCCAAUGUUCAUUUCCGAGGCUUCGAUGAGUCUAUGAUCUGGGAUCUGAAAGCCAAGAACAGCCCAGGGCAGAGUAUUUGACACUAAUAGGAAAGGUGUUUGAAGGACCCUAUUUAAUACACAGCAUCUACAAGAUGUGGACUAAUGAAGGGGCUAGAUGAGAAGUCAAGUGAAUGAACAAGCCAGGGCCAGGAUUAAAAAUAAGAUCUAGGGCCGGCCCCGUGGCUUAGCGGUUAAGUGCGCGCGCUCCGCUGCUGGCGGCCCGGGUUCGGAUCCCAGGCGCGCACCGACACACCGCUUCUCUGGCCAUGCUGAGGCCGCGUCCCACAUACAGCAGCUAGAAGGAUGUGCAGCUAUGACAUACAACUAUCUACUGGGGCUUUGGGGGGAAAAUAAAUAAAUAAAAUAAAAUCUUUAAAAAAAAAAAAUAAAAAUAAAA